GGGCUAGGAUGAAAUUUGAAAAAAAUAGGCAGGACAGGAGUUUUGAGUAAAAAAAAGGCAGGAUGUGACACUUGCAAAAAAAAAAAGUCAGGAUAAACUAAAAAAAAAAAAAAAGGCAGGACCGAUUAGAGUGAAAAAUAAAAAGGUAGGACAGAGAUAACAGCUAAAAAAAAAUGCAGGACAAAAUUUUUCAUACUAGCCCCCCCCCCCCCCCCCCCAUAAAAAUCAAAUGGUAGCUCCCUUAUAUGU
rnacentral:lncRNA from 1 species